AGCUUUGUGCAGGGGCAGCAUCGUAGCCCAUGAGGUUCAUCCGAGGCGUGAUUAUUGCUAAAAAAAAUAAAAUAAUAAAGAAAAGAAACCCCACACAUUUAUUAUAUCACAGUGACGUAGGUCA
ensembl:snRNA U4 U4 spliceosomal RNA